rnacentral:rRNA from 1 species
AUACGGAGGGGGCUAGCGUUAUUCGGAAUUACUGGGCGUAAAGAGUUCGUAGGCGGACUGGAAAGUUAGAGGUGAAAGCCCAGGGCUCAACCCUGGAACGGCCUUUAAAACUUCCAGUCUAGAGACAGAUAGAGGUAAGGCGAAUACUUAGUGUAGAGGUGAAAUUCGUAGAUAUUAAGUGGAACACCAGUGGCGAAGGCGCCUUACUGGAUCUGUACUGACGCUGAGGAACGAAAGCGUGGGGAGCGAACGGAAUUAGAAACCCUAGUAGUCC